AUAGUGCACCGUUAAGGAAGAUAAUAGUGCAAUAGUGCAACGUUAAGCGCGAAUAAUAGUGCAACGCGGGGUAAAAGAGUGUAAGAAAGCUUAUAAGAGUGCAAUACCGUCAUAAUAAUAGAGUAACAUUUCUCGUAACAAUGCAUUACAUAAGAAGAAGAAUUGAAAUAGAAAAUGCAAUCUCCAUUAAUCUGGCAUCAAAUUACAUACAAGAUAUAGUGUUCUCCAAACAAUUAACGAAACAAUAUAGAUCUACUCAAUCUCCAUUUAGCUGGCAUCAAAUUACACGAUUUUAUAGUUCUUUACAACAUAUAAGACAGAAUUUGCAUACAAGAUACAGUUUUAUCCAAACAAUUAACGAAACAAUAUAGAUUUUCUCAAUCUCCAUUAAUCUGGCAUCAAAUUACACGAUUUUAUAGUUAUUUACAAUAUACAAUAUAGAAUUUGCAUACAAGAUACAAUUUCUCUAAACAAUUAACGAAACAAUAUAGAUCUUCUAGAUCUUCUGACA
rnacentral:lncRNA from 1 species